GUUCCGUCCCCCUACGUUACCCGCGGCUGGAUGCGAGAUGGCCGACUGAGUUGAGAGCACUGGACCAGGCCACGCUGCAACUGCCUCCACGGCGAUGGGACUGAGAGCGUCAAGGAGAUUACAGACUGAAGAAGGCCAAGCAAAAAUAGCAGUUGUCUUCUCCCACAAAACAGCAAAACAGUACCAGACAAGAUGUCGAAAUUACAGGUUGAAGGCUGUAGUCACUGUAAUGAUUUUGUCAUGAGUCUCACUACACUUGAUUUGGCAACAUUUUUGCUCAUUCAUUUUGUUGUUGUUGUUGUUGUUUUGUUCGUUUGUUUUCUGAAGCCUUAGCUGUCAGAAUCUGUAGUUGAUCUCCAGUCAUCACCUAACAACAACAACAAAAAUAUAUUUGCAGAAUGACUCUAUAACUGAGCCUUACAGGCAACCAAAAAUCACACAGAACUUAUAUUUUGUAAAUAAAAAUAUGGUUGUAGAAAAAUUCUUAGUAUUUUGAGGUUUAUAAGGAUUGCAGGUACUUCAAGCAACAUAAAUAUACAUGUCAUUACUGUAACAGGUAAAGCCUUGUUUGUUCAUUAAAUGUUGCUGAUAGGGGGGUUUCAACAGUUGACUGCUUAUAUCCCCAAUAUUCUGUUGAAGGAAAAAAAACAAGUAUGGGAACUUCCUGUUAAGUUAACAAUUGCAAUAGAAACCAGCUCCAAAUAAGGGCAAAAUGGCAUUCCUCCUUGCAUGGGAACACACACACCGCAGCAAAGACAUGACCCCAACGCAGAGGAAGAUGACGAUCUUCAUCCCCACGACCACCAGAGGACUGAUGAAGACCCCCUAGCAACAGGCCGCGCAGUCGUAGAAGACACCAGGAUGUGCUACUAAACCCGGAACUACUAGGCUAUAAAUCGAGACUCUGGCGGGCUUAGGUGUGUGCCGUUGGCUGAGCAGGAGACUCCCCGGCCACCCAGCGCUGUUUUAUUUAUCGCUGCUUGCUGAAUUGCUCAAAUAAAUUGAAAUUCGAUCUACCC